GUUAACACUUAGAUGGUGGCUUGUUUGGCUGCAAUUCCCAUUAAUGCCCACCUGGGCAUGACACUGUCCAGGAAGUCACAGCUUACAGGAAGUUAAAUACUUUUUUGGCAUCUUUAAACCUCUUUCACUCAAAGAACUGGAUAGCCUGAACAUGUCUCCUAACACCACAGCAGGUGGAGUUUGCCCAGUUCACGUCACAUGAGAUCAAAAUUGGUCAGGAAGGCACCAGAGUUAUGCACCAGGACCAGACAAAAAAGAUGCUGCCCAUAACCGGACAAGAGCUCUAGGAUCAUAACUGUGAGGACGAUCAUGAGAUGCAGUUUAAAUCGUCUAAGAAACCUGAUGAGGAACUGGAGGUGUGCGGAAGAGGAUUUCCACAUCUUUCCUUGGUUUGUGGAAUUAAAGUGGUGAAUAAUACAUGGCUGAAAGCAUCCGUCUCUCUGAGUUGCCUCUUUUGGACACCAGGGGAUCUGAAGG